rnacentral:lncRNA from 1 species
AGGGGAAGAGUACCUGCGACGGCCUCCGCCUCUGAAGACAAAGGGCCUCGACCAGCAGAAAUACUGUCGAUUCCACCGGGGCCACGGCCACAACAUCGAGCAAUGCAUCCAACUUAAGGAUGAAAUUGAGACCCUCAUACGCCGGGGAUACCUCAGCAAGUUCCGAAAGAAUCCGCCGACCCGACCUGUCGCCGAUCAACGACCCCAACCGACUGAAGAAGCGACGAGUAACCG